UACGUAGGGGGCUAGCGUUGUCCGGAAUCAUUGGGCGUAAAGAGCGUGUAGGCGGUCCGGUAAGUCCGCUGUGAAAGUCGGGGGCUCAACCCUCGAAUGCCGGUGGAUACUGUCGGGCUAGAGUACGGAAGAGGCGAGUGGAAUUCCUGGUGUAGCGGUGAAAUGCGCAGAUAUCAGGAGGAACACCUAUUGCGAAGGCAGCUCGCUGGGACGUAACUGACGCUGAGACGCGCAAGCGUGGGGAGCAAACAGG
rnacentral:rRNA from 1 species